CAAAACAAUUGUCAUGAAUUCUUGGUUGGUGUAUCAGAUUUUACAUGGAAUCUUACAAAACAUAAAUGGAAGCAUUGAUAGAACCAUGCUUAGGUUAUUGCUAAUACGAUGCAUGACAAUGCUAUUGUGUGUGGUAUGUGAUUUAGAUGACGAGGAUGCUCCAAUUGUUAAGAAUUUUGGGGAUAGAGCUUUACAUGGCUUUCAGUUGGAUGGAAUUCUUCAUGAAAAGAAACUAGCUUAGAAAAGUGAAUCAUCCUAUGAAGAGAUAAAGAGUAAUGUGCAGAAGGAACUGGGUUAUGAAGGUAAUGAGAGAAAUGCAAUCAGAAUCUUGGAACAGGCACUUGAAGAAGAACACGCUGCUCGUGCUGCUCUUUACCUUGAGCUUGAGAAGGAGAGAAGUGCUGCUGCUACAGCUGCAGAUGAGGCCAUGGCUAUAAUACUGCGUCUACAAGACGAGAAGGUAUCCAUUGAAAUGGAGGCUUGGCAAUACCAGAGGAUAAUAGAAGAAAAAUCUACUUGUGAUGCUGAAGAAAUGAACAUCUGUAAAGAAAUUCUUGUGAGGAGACAGAAAGAGAAGCAUUUCUUGGGAAGGGAAGUUGAAGCUUAUAGGCGGAUGAUUCAUAUUGGAAAUUAACAGUUACAAGAUGACAUUCAGUAAAUGGUGAACACAGAGAGAACAGGCUGAUGCUCCAACAGGUAGUGAAUCCAUUGACAAGAAGGAAAUUGUAAAAGAGAAAAGUUCAGUUAAUGAGGUAUUGUCUAUUGAUAAGCAAAACUGUACACCCUUCCUCUUGGAGAGGAAUUAUGAAUUUCCGGAUGGGAUGAAGAAGCUGAUUUUCAAGCAAGGGUAUGUAGAGAAAUCUAUAGUUUCUGGUCUGCAGAAAAAUUUGAUGUCAGCAGCUGACAAUGUAAGAUUGAAAAUUGACAUGGAAGUUGAGUGACUCGGAGAGAGGUUAAGCAUUGUGCAGGAACAAAGACAGAAGCUCAACUUCUCUGUGGACUAUCGGGAAAGGGAAAAAUUUCAACUGCAACUUGUAGAAGAUAUAGCAUAACAACUUCGAGAGAUUUAACAGCUAGCAGAACCUAGAAAGGCCCCAUGCGCAAAGCUUCUUUGCCCCUGCCAUCCUCAGAGUUUCAAGAGCAAAAAUCAAAUUGUUCUAUACAAAGGAUGAAACACUUACCAAUAUCAGCUGUUUGCAAAGAUGGAGAUGCAUUCACAGGAGAUAAACCUGCAGAUGCAUCCACAGAAGAUGGAGCUGUUGACAUGUGAGCUGGGACCUCAAUUGGGUUUGCCUCUGACAGUGAAGUCGUCGACCUCCUCUUAUUGGCUUGCCCAGGUGGCAUCUGUAUAGUCUUUGUAUGUAACAAAUGAAUUGUAAGCAACUAGAACCAAAAAUUUAAAAUGCAUGACAAUUCAUGAAAUUAUAAGAUAACCUAAUAGUCUAAUAUUAGAACCA